CAGGUAAACUGAUGUAUCAAGAAAAUAUCCAUCCUGAGAAAAAGGUUACUCAGGCCCAGAAAGACAAAUAUGUGCUUAGGGAGCUAUGCCAAAGAGGAGGCAGAAUGACUCUAAGGGCCAGAGAAGAUGGAAGACACCAAAGAAACAGCAUCUUCCACACAUAACAGGACUGAUGCAAAUAUGAACUCACAGAGACUGUGGAAGUUACAGGGUCUCCAGUUAAGGUAAUGUCUUAGCUACUUUUCUAUUGUUGUGAAGAAACACCAUGAUCUUGGCAACUUCGAAAAGGAAACAUUGAAUUAGGGACUCAUUUACAGUUUCAGAGUCAGUCAACAAUCAAGGUGGGGAGCAUAGCAGCAGGCAGGUAAGCAUGGCUCUGGAGCAGUGCCUGAGAACUUCCAUCUUAUCUGUGAGAGACAGUGUCAGAGACUGGGCCUGGCAUGUAUGUUUGAGACCUCAAAGCCCACCCCCAGUGACUCACUUUCUCCAUCAAAGACACAUUAUCUAAUCCUUCCAUAACAGCCCACCAACUGUGAAACCUUUCAAUUAUGAGUUUAUGUGAACUGUUCUCAUUCAAAUCACCACAGGUAGUAUUUGAGUUGUUA
rnacentral:lncRNA from 1 species